rnacentral:tRNA from 1 species
UGGUCUAUGGUGUAAUUGGCAGCACGACUGAUUCUGGUUCAGUUAGUCUUGGUUCGAAUCCAGGUAGACCAG